AACGAACGCUGGCGGCAUGCCUAACACAUGCAAGUCGAACGAGACCUUCGGGUCUAGUGGCGCACGGGUGCGUAACGCGUGGGAACCUGCCCUUAGGUUCGGAAUAACUCCCCGAAAGGGGUGCUAAUACCGGAUAAUGUCUUCGGACCAAAGAUUUAUCGCCUUUGGAUGGGCCCGCGUUGGAUUAGCUAGUGGUAGGGUAAAAGCCUACCAAGGCGACGAUCCAUAGCUGGUCUGAGAGGAUGAUCAGCCACACUGGGACUGAGACACGGCCCAGACUCCUACGGGAGGCAGCAGUGGGGAAUAUUGGACAAUGGGCGAAAGCCUGAUCCAGCAAUGCCGCGUGAGUGAUGAAGGCCUUAGGGUUGUAAAGCUCUUUUACCCGGGAUGAUAAUGACAGUACCGGGAGAAUAAGCUCCGGCUAACUCCGUG
rnacentral:rRNA from 1 species